UUAGAUACUUACUAUUUUAUAAAAAAUGUGAGUUGCAAAACCCAUGUUAUAAAAUAUGAAUUGUUAAUGAUUUCAUCAAUUUAAAGUAUUCAUUAAUGAUAAUAUUCAUAAAUAUUUAGUAUAUUCAACAAAUAUAAUUUCUAUAUUUAACGUAGAAGAAAAGUAGAGACUGAGUUUGUUCCAGAUGAAUGUAACAUAAAGAACUCUUGUGUUCUCACUUAAAAUAAUGCAUGCACAUUCGAUAGAAAACGCUUCUAUGCAGAAUUCUUUCUAUACUGUCAUAUCGCAUCCAUUUACACGAAUUAUAUUUACCCAAGAAUCUUAUAAUGGUAAAAUUAUCUUUAAUUUAUAUGAAUACAAAAUUAACUGAAAACUUCUUUAAUAUUGAAUGUGAUAUAUAUAAUUUCAUUAUGUAAAUCUCUCAAACCA
rnacentral:misc_RNA from 1 species